GACAGAGGCCCAAGCCGUUAGGCGGAAUCACUGGGCUUAAAGCGUGUGUAGGCGGACGCCUAAGUGUCUUGUGAAAUCCCACGGCUCACCCGUGGAACUGCUGGGCAUACUGGGCGUCUUGGGCCAACUAGGGGCAGCCGGAACAAGCGGUGGAGCGGUGAAAUGCGUAGAUAUCGCUUGGAACGCCGAAGGUGAAAACAGGCUGCUGGGGUUGUGCCGACGCUGAGACACGAAAGCCAGGGGAGCAAACGGG
rnacentral:rRNA from 1 species